UCCUCAAUAGCUCAGUUGGUUAGAGCACCUGACUGUUAAUCAGGGGGUCCCAGGUUCAAGUCCUGGUUGAGGAGCCG
rnacentral:tRNA from 4 species